ACUCUCCACUUACCUCUUUGGAGAUGUGUCAGCUCCAGCCCCACACAGCUUAACCUCAGCCUCCCUGCGUGUUUCAGUGCUUCAGGCUCUGCUCCAAGAACCUGGGAGGAGCCUCCUCAACUCUGUCUAUGAUGUUGGGUCAGCGUGUUCGCCAAUUUGGUGAGAAACUGGUCCGAAGGCGGCCACUGGAGCCGAGGAACGAGUCUGAGAUUCCCACACCUCAUCUCAACAGCUUCGACCUAGUGGUCUUUGGUGUGAACAGAACCCUGAGGGCUGGUGUGUACAUCCUAGCUGGUGCCGUGGCUGUCUAUGUAACAAUGGGACAACUGCAUGCCUUCAUCACUGGCUGGAACAUCAUACUGCAUUUUGUUCUUGCCACCGCCUACUUGACCAGGGCCUGGAGCUACACCUUUGACAGCCUGAUUGGGAACCACAUCUCGCAGGUGUUAGAGGGAACGUUCUCUGAGCAUAUGCCCUCGUUCCUGGCCCCAUACCCAGACUUUGUUGCGCUGGCCCUGGUGCUGCUGAUGGCUGGGCUACUGAUUCUGGGCGUUCAUGUGACAGCUCGUGUUACCAAAGUGUCCACAGGUAUCAAUGCUUUGGUUCUCAGCUUCAUCAUCAUCUCUGGCUUCAUUAAGGGAGACCUGCACAACUGGCAGCUCACAGAACAGGACUACAAACUGGCCGCAUCUGGAUCCUCUGACAGCUAUAGCCUGGGCCCUCUGGGUUCUGGAGGGUUUGUGCCCUUUGGCUUUGAAGGGAUUCUCCAAGGAGCAGCAAUGCCUUUCUACUCAUUCUUUGGUCUCAAUGCUAUUGUCACUACAGGGAAAGAAACCCCCAACCCUCAGCGUUCCAUCCCUUGGAGCAUAGGGAUCUUCAUCUCCAUCUGCUUUUUGGCCUAUUCUGGUGUCUCAGCAGCUCUCACCCUCAUGGUGCCCUACUACCAGAUUCAUCCUUACAACCCCUUGCCGCAGGCUUUCCACCAUGUUGGGUGGGCUCCUGCCGGAUACUUCGUGGCUGUUGUCAUCCUGUGUGCUCUUUUUUACAGCCUCCUGGUUGUCAUGUUGACCAUGUCUCGGUUGAUUUGUGCAAUGGCAGAGGAUGGGCUCCUUUUCCGGGGACUUGGCAAAAUCUACGCCCGAAGAGGCACCCCCAUCGUGGCCAUCCUGGUUUCUGCAAUUCUUUCAGGGAUCAUGGCAGUACUUUUCGAGAUCCAUCAUCUUGUGGAACUCCUGUCAGUUGGGGUCUUGCUUGCUUACUUCCUAGUGGCUUUUUCUGUCCUGGUCCUCAGGUACCAGCCAGACCAGAGCUUCAGCAAGAAGGAGAAAGUAGAGGAGGAAACUGAGAUGGAGCCUAUAGUUGAAGGAAAUCCUUCACCAUCUGUACCUGAAGCAGGAACCUCAAACCCUCUAAAGAGUCUGUGUAACCCUAUCAGCACCACCCCGACUCUGAAAUCUGGCCAGAUUGUCUAUGGAUGUGCCUUCCUGCUGGUUCUCCUGCUGACCAUCCUGAGCCUGCUUCUGGCCCUGUGGCCCAGCCGCGUGUUUUCUGGAGACCCCGGGUUCACAGCAGGGGCUGUGCUGCUGCUGCUGCUCAUUAUGUGGAUCACUGUCAUCAUUUGGAGGCAGCCCCAGAACCCCUCUCCUCUUCACUUUAGGGUACUUUCUUUGCCUGUCUUCCCACUGAUCAGCAUCUUUGUGAACAUUUACUUGAUAAUACAGAUGACUACUGGGACUUGGGCCCAAUUUGGCAUCUGGAAUGCUGUUGGAUUUGCCAUAUACUUUGGAUAUGGGAUCCGACACAGCUUGGAGGAGAAGAGUGAUCAAAACCCACCAGCUUCCAACUUCCAUACUUUUGAUGAACACACCUCUAGUGCUAAAUCCUGUUAACUCCAGCAAAUAGAUGCUGUGUGGUCCUCUCCAAAAGGGGAAAUGUAUUCUGGUUCAAGGGACUUUUUGAGCCUCUAUGGAGUGUGACAUUGGGAUGCAUGUAGAGCCUUCUAUUUAUUGCCACUGGACAGGAUGACUUUUAUGUAUAAUUUAAAGUAAACUUUU
rnacentral:lncRNA from 1 species